rnacentral:rRNA from 1 species
GUCGCCUGCCCAGUGAACGCUUGUUUAAACGGCCGCGGUAUCCUAACCGUGCAAAGGUAGCGUAAUCACUUGUCUCCUAAAUAGGGACUAGUAUGAACGGCUAAAUGAGGGCCCAACUGUCCCAUAUGACCACUCAAUGAAACUGAUCCUCCAGUACAAAAGCUGGAAUAACACCACAAGACGAGAAGACCCUGCGGAACUUCAACCAUACUAUCAACUCAGGCCCCCUCCAUACCAACCAACACAGGCCUCAAUACAUCUACAAAUUGAUAACGGUUUAAGUUGGGGCGACUGUGGAGUAAAAAUCAACCUCCAUGUAACCAAUACAAACAGACUAACCAGCCUAAGUAUAACAAACAAGACCCAGUAUUACUGAUCACCGAACCAAGCUACCCCAGGGAUAACAGCGCCAUCCUCUUUUAGAGUCCCUAUCGCCAAGAGGGUUUACGACCUCGAUGUUGGAUCAGGGCCCCCCAGUGGCGCAGCCGCUACUAAAGGUCCGUUUGUUCAACGGUUAAUGCCCU